rnacentral:snRNA from 1 species
ACAAAACUAGGUUCGUUC